GGCUCAAUGAUGCCUAAUUUUUUUUUGCAGUAUGCGCUAUUCUGAGCAGACAUUUUUAUUGCAAUAUCAUGAGAGCC